rnacentral:lncRNA from 1 species
CAGAGAAUCAAGCGGUUGCCUUCUGAGGGCUGAAGCGUAUAUCAGUACCAGAACCAGCUGGGGACUUUUCUCAGAUCUUCACUGUGAGAACCUGCUAGAGUCCUUGGAGAUAAAACUCACGAAAGUGUAAAGAUAGCUCUAUGGCAAGGUCUUCUUGGAGUUUUUAAUUCUCAGACUUAACCACAUUCAGCUUCCAGCAAUUCAUCAAUUAGAGUUCAGGUUUUCCUAACCUUGUUCUGGUUCCUGCAGAGGCACAAAGAUUACUGCUUGUGAGUUUCUGCUCUGGAAUGGAUGUUUUCUUUUAAAAAUGGUUUAUUGAAGUAUCAUGUACCUAUCUUAAGUGUACAGCACGAUGAUGUGUAUGCCCAUGUAACCAUCACCUAGAAGGAUGAGAACCACAAGCAUGAGAACAUGAGGAUAAAUACACUUUGGGGAAAAAGAAAACAGACAGAGGCAGCAGAGAAGGAAGACGAGAAGAAGAGAAAAAGAGAAGUAGGAAGAGGAUGAAUUCAUUUCGCUUAUCUGGCAAAUGUGUAAUCUGAGUAAUAGAGAAUCAUCCAGAGCUCCUGUGCUAUAAUGGCAGUUUGAACCGCUGGAGCCGAGAUUUGAGCCCCGGGACCCAUCAGUCCUGCUGGACCGUCUGUGAAACUGGUCCUGAACCCAGUGACCUCCGCCUCUGGGGGCAAUUCCAUCUCCAGUGGUUUUUGCCACAGGCUGGACAGGGUCGAAGUUGCUUCGUCUUGCUGCCUGGGCAAUCCUUAAAAUGCCCUGGCCUGCCACAUCAAUAGCAACUAGCAGAUGCACCUUGGGGAUUCUGGAUGUUGCAAGCCUGCAAAGCUGCUGCUAGAGCCUCUGUCCGUCUCCCGAGCUUGCUCUCUUUCUUUUGGGCAUCCUCCUCCUGGUCCAUAUUAUUAAAGACCGAAGUGGCCACUUUCAGGAGGCUCUCUAAGGUGCUGUCUGGUCCUGUACCUUGGUUUUGUAGUUUCCUUCUACUAUCAGGAGCUGCCUUGUGUAAUAAACUUGUCCUUCAGGAUGAGCUGUUCCUCAACUGAAUUACGGGAUAAGGAGGUAUACUCUAUUAGUGCCUUUCCAUAAAGGCUACAGGAGUCUUAUCUGGCUUUUGGUCCAUUAUAGACAGUUUAGAGUAUGAUACCUUGUUUUAACCUGAAUUGACUCUCCCUUAGCUGAGAGAGCCAGACAGACACCAUCUUGGCUCCUUCACUUACAGCCCCUUACUCACCCCCUUCCUCAAGGACUUAACUUGUGCAAGCUGACUCCCAGCACAUCCAAGAGUGCAAUUAACUGAUAAGAUACUGUGGCAAGCUAUAUCUGCAGUUCCUAGGAAUUUGCCCAGUUGAUAGCACCCAGAGCCCCCCGCGUUUGUGUCCGGUUGAUAACACCCAAAGCCCCGCGCCUAUCACCUUGUGAUGGAUUUAAAACCCCUGCACCUGGAACCGUUUGCUUUCCUGUAACCAUUUAUCCUUUUUACUUUUUGCCUGCUUUAUUUCUGUAAGAUUGUUUUAACUAGACUCCCCCCACUCCCCUUUCUAAACCAAAGUAUAAAAGAAAAUCUAACCCCUUCUUCAGGGCCGAGAGAAUCUUGAGCACUAGCCGUCUCUCGGUCUCUGGCUAAUAAAGGACUCCUGAAUUUGUCUCAGCGUGUGGCGUUUCUCUGUAACUUGCUCGGUUACAACAAG